GUUUGGAGAGCUGUAUAAGAGGACAGAGGGAGCUUUCCUCAAACAAAUUUCCCUCCAGUUUUUCCUCCAGCGGCGGCGGCGGCGGCGGCGGCGUGGAGGGAAGGGAGGAAAGAAUUAAGAAAAUUGAAGCCUUCUCUCAGACAUGAACAAAGAAGAGCAAUUCGUGACAAACAGGCAAACAAACAAACAAACAAACAAGGACAGCGUUGAGUCUCGCAUGUCACGCCAGCCUCUCGGAAACUGUUGCUUGCUUCACCUGGCAAUUGUGAACCAGUAAGUCAAUUCUUGCUUCGCUUUGCUGAGGUUACCUUACCUUACCUUAGGUUAUGGUUAUGGUUAGGUUAGGUUAAGUUAGGUUAGGUUAGGUUAUGGUUAGGUUAGGUUAAGUUAAUUUAGGUUAGGUUUGGUUAUGGUUUGGUUAGGUUAAGUUAAAAGUUUGGUUUGGUAAAGUUAUGUUGGAUUAGGUCAAGUUAGCUUUGGUUAGGUUAGGUUAGGUCAGGUCAGGUUAGCUUAGGUCAGGUUAGGAUAGGUGAGGUGAGGUUAGGUUAAGGUAUGGUGCAAGAAGUAAAGGGGAUGGCAGUGUUGGUUGUAGGUGCAAAUUUAGCAGGAUAACUAAGGUGAUGCUAUAAGAAAAUGACAAAAGGUGUUUUUUGAUGCAUUUGUACCACAGGUGAUGCGUUGACCUAGCCUGACCCACCCCUAACCUAACCUCACCUCACCUAAACAAACCUAACACAACAAAAUCUAAAGCAACCUAACCUAACUUAACCUAACUUAAA